UGCUAGUGAAAGAGAUCCUAGCUAAUGUACUAGUGUCCGUUUUAUUUAAAUUUUUUUAUAAUUAGUAUUUUUAUUGUUAUUAGAUAAUAAAACAUAAAUACUAUUUUAUAUGUGACUAAUUUUUUUUAACUUUUUUAUAAUUUUUUUAAAUAAGAAAAACAGUCAAAUAUUAAAUAUAGAAACCCACAACUGCGUUUAAA
rnacentral:pre_miRNA from 1 species